rnacentral:rRNA from 1 species
UACGUAGGGUGCGAGCGUUGUCCGGAAUUAUUGGGCGUAAAGAGCUCGUAGGCGGUGUGUCACGUCGAUCGUGAAAACUUGGGGCUUAACUCUGAGCUUGCGGUCGAUACGGGCAUCACUGGAGUUCGGCAGGGGAGACUGGAAUUCCUGGUGUAGCGGUGAAAUGCGCAGAUAUCAGGAGGAACACCGGUGGCGAAGGCGGGUCUCGUGGGCCGAUGACUGACGCUGAGGAGCGAAAGCGUGGGGAGCGAACAGG